rnacentral:tRNA from 1 species
GCCGAGGUAGCCCAGCUCGGUAGGGCGGUAGUCUCGAAAACUACUGGGAACCUCCCUCGGGAGUUCAAAUCUCCCCCUCGGCGCCA